UACGUAGGGGGCAAGCGUUGUCCGGAUUUAUUGGGUUUAAAGGGUGCGUAGGCGGCUUUGUAAGUCAGUGGUGAAAUAUGGCAGCUUAACUGUCAAGGUGCCAUUGAUACUGCGGAGCUUGAGUACAGAUGAGGUAGGCGGAAUUGACGGUGUAGCGGUGAAAUGCUUAGAUAUCGUCAAGAACACCUAUAGCGAAGGCAGCUUACUGGGCUGUAACUGACGCUGAGGCACGAAAGUGUGGGGAGCAAACAGG
rnacentral:rRNA from 1 species